AAUCGAUUUUCCGGUUGAUCUGCCGGAGGUCCUGCUAUCGGGGUUCGAUUAAGCCAUGCGAGUUGAGAGGGUUUAGACCCUCGGCGGACUGCUCAGUAACACGUGGAUAACCUGCCCUAAGGUGGAGGAUAACCCCGGGAAACUGGGGAUAAUACUCCAUAGAUCAGAGUAACUGGAAUGUUUUCUGGUCGAAAGUUCCGGCGCCUUAGGAUGGAUCUGCGGCCGAUUAGGUAGUUGUUGGGGUAACGGCCCAACAAGCCAGUCAUCGGUACGGGUUGUGGGAGCAAGAGCCCGGAGAUGGAAUCUGAGACACGAUUCCAGGCCCUACGGGGCGCAGCAGGCGCGAAAACUUUACAAUGCAGGAAACUGUGAUAAGGGAACCCCGAGUGCUCGUACACGCGAGCUGUCCAGGUGUGUAAAAAGCAUCUGAAGAAAGGGCCGGGCAAGACCGGUGCCAGCCGCCGCGGUAAUACCGGCGGCUCGAGUGGUGGCCACUAUUAUUGGGCUUAAAGCGUUCGUAGCUGGACUCUUAAGUCUCCUGGGAAAUCCGCCGGCUCAACCGGCGGGCGUCCAGGAGAUACUGGGAGUCUUGGAACCGGAAGAGGUAAGAGUACUUCG
rnacentral:rRNA from 1 species